AGAUUAUCUGGAGUACCAAAAUAGCCAUGUAUGAAAGAAGUUUUUAAGGUAUCUUUUAACUCUAAGAGAAGCCUAUGAAGCUAGUAUCUGGAAUAAUUUUCAGCUUUUUGAGUCUGUAGAGGUUUAUACACUCAAGAAAUCAGAGGAUUUUGCACGUCUUCCAUGGAUUUAGCAUCUGAUGGAAAUAUAUGUGAAGCUAAAAGCAUAACGAAGAAAAAAAUGGCCCAAGCAAUCCAGCUAUUCAAAUAAUGCUUUUGAGGUAAAGAAAAAAAUGCACAUAAGAAAAUUCAAAUGAUAUUUAAUGAUACAAAAUAAAAAGUCUUUCUCUUCGAUCCUACUUCUACCCCAACCCACCCACUAGUUCUUGGACCCUCUCCUGGUGGUACCCAUAGUUAAAUAUUUCGUCUGUCUUUGAAAACAUCUAAAAAAUAUUUACCAGUCUAUCAUUAUAAUAAUCUUUGUACGUAGCCCAUAGUAGGUAUAUCUAUCAGCUUUUGCUGGGUUCUGCUGCCAUAGCAAUACCUUCAUAUUUCAGUAACUUACAACACUGGUUUAUUUCUUGUUCAUAUUACAUGUUGUCGUCUGUGAAUUGCCUGCAGCUUUGUUUCGUAUGCUUUAAUUUGAAACCCUGACUGAAGAGACAUGCUGUUUUGUGGUAAAGAGCAAGUAAACUGGUGAAAACAGAUAGUGGUUCUUAAAAGCUUCUCAUUCAUGGCAGGUAUCAAAUUGGCUUGUAUGUUAUUGGCCAAAGCAAGUCAAGUAGUCAAGCUCCUUGUCAGUGAGUGGGGCAGGCAUGUGUGUUCCUCCCACAGGUGCCAUUGCAAGUCACAUGAUAAUGGGUGAGUCUGUAUAAUCCUUUUAUAAAGGAAAGAGGAGAGUGAAUAGUUAAGAACCAAGGCAGUCUAAAAGAGGUGCCCAACUAAUGCUUGCUUAAUGGUUUGCUUUGAAUUUGUGGAAGGUUCAUUUUUUUCUUUAAAUGGAAGAUUUCAAACAUAAAAAAGUAGAGAGAGUAAUAUGAUGAACCUCCGUAUUCCCGUCAUUAGCCUCAACAGUUAUCAGUGCAUGGAAAUCUUGGUUCAUCUGUUUCCUUCCCUUCUCCCUGCCUUCCGAUUGGAUUGUUUUGAAGCAUUUCUCAGGAACCAUACAGUUUCAACUGUAAACAUUUCAUUAAAUGUCUGUAAAAGCUAAGGUUUGAAAGUAACUUCUUAUAGUAAUUUCUUAUCUAAUAGUUUGAGGUUGUGGUACCAUGAUCUGACAGGUAUCUAG